rnacentral:rRNA from 1 species
UACGGGGGGGGCAAGCGUUGUUCGGAAUUACUGGGCGUAAAGGGCUCGUAGGUGGUCAACUAAGUCGGACGUGAAAUCCCUCGGCUUAACCGGGGAACUGCGUCCGAUACUGGAUGACUUGAGUUCGGGAGAGGGAUGCGGAAUUCCAGGUGUAGCGGUGAAAUGCGCAGAUAUCAGGAGGAACACCGAUGGCGAAGGCAGGUCUCUGGGCAUUAACUGACGUUGAGGAGCGAAAGCAUGGGGAGCGAACAGG